CUAUAAGGAGUAGUGGUGUGGAGGAGGACUUUAGGAAGACAAGGGCAUCUCGGGAGGGAGAGAGCAGGCUGCAGUCCCAGAGGGAGGGCAAACAAGAAGCCAGAAGGAAGGAGAGAAGGGAGAGGGGCCGGCAGACAUCAGGGAAGCGACAGGGCCCGAAAAGGAACCCGGGUGGAAAGAAGACACUCAGGAGAGAGGAAGAGAGGCAGAGAUGAAGCGAAAGGGGUCUCUGGCCUGCCUCCUGCUGUUCCUGCUCCUGGGCAGUGGAGAGGCUAGCCCGAUGCAGAGUGGAGAGACCGACGCUGCAGGAAAAGUUGGGGAAGCCAUUGUACACGGGGUGGGAGAGGGGGUGGGAGAGGCCUUGGGAGAAGCCGCCAUCCAAGGAAUCGAGAAGGCCAUUGGCCAAGGGACUGGAGAGAAAGCGAGCUUGGGAAUCAGGGAGGCCAGGGACCCCCACUUGGGGGAUGCUCUUGCCCACAAGCUUAAGGAAGCGAGCCACGCUCUUAAAAACACUGGGAGCGAGGCCGGCAGACAGGCUGAAAAUAUCAUCGGACACGGAGUGGACCCUGCCCACAGCUCCUGGCAGGGAGUGCCCGGCAGCAACGGAGCUUGGGGAACCAAUGGGCAGCCUCCAUCUGGACACCACGGCAUCCCUGGCUCUCAGGGCAGCUCUGGAGGCCCAGGGGACACCCACGAGCACGUGUUCUCUGGAGGCUCAGGUGGCAGCUUUGGAGCUAAUGCUCAGGGAGGCUCCUGGGGCCAGGGAGGCCACAGAGGGCCAUUCAACCCAGGGGCCAACUCUCAGGGAACUGCGCCCCAACCUGGUUCAGUGAGAAGCAGCAGCAACGGAAAUACGGAAUGCACCACCCCCCCUGGCUCAGGUGGAAGCUCUGGCAACUCUGGGGGAAGCAGCAGCAGUGGCUCCAGCAGUAAUGGCGGCGGCAGCAAUGGCGGCGCCGGCAGCAAUGGCGGCCCCGGCAGUAACAGUGGCGGCAGCAGCAGCUCCGGGUCCAGCUGGGACACUAGAAAUUCUGAUCAUGGUGGCUCCUCCCAGGGAUACAACCCCAACUCCUCCUCGGGGAGCAGAGUUGGAAGUGGUGGCAGAAACAAACCUGAGUGUGACAACCCACAUGUUUCCGGGGGAUCUGGGGGUCAGGGGCAGGGCUCUGGUGGAGAAGGCGAAGCUGUCAGUGGAAUCAACACCUUGAACUCUCAGACAUCUUCUGAGCCCUUCAACUUCGACACUUUCUGGAAGAAUUUUAAAUCCAAGCUGGGCUUCAUUAACUGGGAUGCCUUAAACAAGGGCCAAGCCCCACCCCCCAGCACUCGUGCCCUCCUCUACUUCAGGCGGCUCUGGCAGGAUUUCAAACACAACACUCCUUUCUUGAACUGGAAAGUCAUUACUGAGGGCGAAGACGUGCCAUCGCUUCAGAAGAGGGCAGGUGGGGCUGGCCAGCCUGGCACAGGAUGGCAAGACACAGUAGCUGGGACUGCUAAGAACUACAAUUACAACCAGCAGGGACCUCCUACAGCCCUUGGCGGGCAGUACCCAGUCAAGACCCCCGCUAAGAAUAAUAAAGCCCCUGCCCUCGGGGAGAGGACUUCUGAAAGAUCAGAGACUGCCUGCUGACUGAAAGGAGGUGAAACUGCAGUUGAUACUCCAGGGGGAGUCACGGUUUCUUCCUCGGCUUCCCAGACGCACCCUAGCCUGCUGCAGUGGGUGAAGUUUUGGUAGACAAGCACUUCUGACCACGACUGAGGGCCUGAGAAACAUGGGUCGUCAAGGGACCGGACUGUGCCCGGGCCCCAGCUCUCGGUCUGCGUGCCGACACCUGCCUUUUCUAGCUUGGGGUCCUGCCUGCCUGUCCCUUGUCUCCCCCAUGCACGGUGGUGGUGUCUCUGUGGCCACCAGUCUCAGUGGGUACCCCAGCCGUUUCUUCACCAGCUCCAUUUUGUGUCCUGAAGUCACCGUGACAAAAAUUCAGGAGGAGCGUCCAGCUUUAGUUUCUCUGUGGAAAUAAAACAUGAAUCUUGUAUCCCUAA